UACGUAGGGGGCUAGCGUUGUCCGGAUUUAUUGGGCGUAAAGAGCGUGUAGGCGGCCAGGUAGGUCCGUUGUGAAAACUCGAGGCUCAACCUCGAGACGUCGGCGGAAACCCUCUGGCUAGAGUCCGGAAGAGGAGAGUGGAAUUCCUGGUGUAGCGGUGAAAUGCGCAGAUAUCAGGAAGAACACCCGUGGCGAAGGCGGCUCUCUGGGCAGUAACUGACGCUGAGGAGCGAAAGCGUGGGGAGCGAACAGG
rnacentral:rRNA from 1 species